rnacentral:rRNA from 1 species
CCUACGGGUGGCAGCAGUAGGGAAUAUUGCUCAAUGGGGGAAACCCUGAAGCAGCAACGCCGCGUGGAGGAUGAAGGUUUUCGGAUUGUAAACUCCUUUUGUUAGAGAAGAUAAUGACGGUAUCUAACGAAUAAGCACCGGCUAACUCCGUGCCAGCAGCCGCGGUAAUACGGAGGGUGCAAGCGUUACUCGGACUCACUGGGCGUAAAGAGCGCGUAGGCGGGAUAGCAAGUCAGAGUUAAAAUCCCAUGGCUUAACCAUAGAACUGCAUUUGAAACUGUUAUUCUUGAGUAUGGGAGAGGUAGGUGGAAUUUUUGGUGUAGCGGUAAAAUCCGUAGAGAUCAAGAGGAAUACUCAUUGCGAAGGCGACUUGCUAGAACAUAACUGACGCUGAUGCGCGAAAGCGUGGGUAGCAAACAGGAUUAGAUACCCUAGUAGUC